GGAAAGGGUGACUCCAUCGGUGCUAC
rnacentral:piRNA from 1 species